GAUGAACGCUGGCGGCGUGCCUAAUACAUGCAAGUCGAACGGAGAAUUAGCAAUAAUUCUUAGUGGCGAACGGGUGAGUAACGCGUUGGUGACCUGCCCCGAAGUGUGGGAUACCAGUCCGAAAGGACUGCUAAUACCGCAUGUGAUCACAGGAGCUAGAGAACUGUGAUGAAAGGACGCUUGCGUCCGCUUUGGGAGGGGCCUGCGUCCCAUCAGCUAGUUGGUAGGGUAAUGGCCUACCAAGGCUACGACGGGUAGGGGACCUGAGAGGGUGGCCCCCCACAAUGGAACUGAAAUACGGUCCAUACACCUACGGGUGGCAG
rnacentral:rRNA from 1 species